rnacentral:rRNA from 1 species
CCUACGGGGGGCAGCAGUGGGGAAUAUUGCACAAUGGGGGAAACCCUGAUGCAGCGACGCCGCGUGAAGGAUGAAGUAUUUCGGUAUGUAAACUUCUAUCAGCAGGGAAGAAGAUGACGGUACCUGACUAAGAAGCCCCGGCUAACUACGUGCCAGCAACCGCGGUAAUACGUAGGGGGCAAGCGUUAUCCGGAUUUACUGGGUGUAAAGGGAGCGUAGACGGCAUGGCAAGUCUGAUGUGAAAACCCGGGGCUCAACCCCGGGACUGCAUUGGAAACUG